GUUAAAAAAAAUAGACAUAUCAAACAUGCAAAUACUUGAAUCCAGCAGGCCAAUAAUGAAAUGUGAACACUUUCUAAGUCUAAUUCUACACUUCCAGGUUGGCAUCAGUACGCAGAAACAGGCUCUAGGAAAAAUUUCUAAGUUCACAGCCUAUGUGUGUGUGUGUUGAAACAGAAGCACGUGUGUGUGUGCGUGCGUGUGCGUGCGCACUUUCUGUGUGUGUUAAGUGUGUGAGGGAUUUAACUGUGGGUUUUCCCUUUUAUUCAGUAUGUGCUUUUUUUUUUUGGCGCAUUGGUCAAACGUUUGUUAUUAUUAGCUUCUAACUUUGCACUGAGUGUCCCUGCCCUUCCUUUAGCUAAUCCUAUACAUUAAAGAGAAUUCAUAGGACAGGGCCGGUGACAAUUCAUGUGUAAAUGUUUACUCAAGGACUCUGUUAUUGCGUUUAAAAAUUACAGUGUAUAUCUCUGGAGAAAUAAUAUGUAUACCUACCUUUAGCAGCUUUUUAUUGUGGACUAAUGCAAGAAAAUUAUUACCAGAGUAUUGCACCAUUUUUCCAUUUGGAAUAUAAAGUUAAAGAGAAAACAACUCUCGUUGAACUGUGGCCAUAGAUACUUGUAGAGGGUGGAUGGUUCCGCGGGAGGAACGGAAACAAGCACUUGGACGUGGGUUGUGACUCUGCUUUCGGAGGAGCCCGAGGUGAGGGCUCCCACCUGUUUACAGACCUUUUUUUCUCCUUCAGACUUUAAAAUAAAAAAAUUUUAAAAAGGAAUUUAAAAAAAGAAAAGAAAAAAAAAAAAGACUUCCGUCGUAAAGAAACCUAUUUUCAGAAUGCAGAUCCGCUACUUCAGAGCUCUGGGAUUGAACAGUGUUGUUUUCCCCUCCGGCCACCGUCGUGGACUCUGUCGACUGUCCCCUUCGUCCAGGUGACGAGUUGUGGUCACUGUCUUGCACACGCGGAUGCGCUCUCAGGAAAGCCAGGGUUCCCGAGGGGCAGCUCCACACCAUUUCAUGUAUUUUGUAACCCAACUCCUAGCACUGAAGAUGUUAUUAAAAAACAAACAAAAAAUAAAGAAAAAAAAGAAAAAAGAGGAAAAAAAAACACAAAGAAGAAAGAUACCUAAUCUCUAACGUGUAGCAGUUACGUAUGUACCAAAUAAUGGACUCAAAGGAAAUAGAUGUUCGAAGAGUGCUUUAUAUAUUAAAAAUUGCUUUAUGUUUUAAAAAUGAUCAAUGUUUUGAUUGUUUUGCAAGAAAGAAAGACAAUGGAGUAACAUACCCUUGAGUAUGUUUAAAAAAAUAUAUGAACAUGUGCUCCCUGCCUGCUUGAUCAGGAAACUUGUGCAUUACAUUUUUUUUAAUUAGCUUUUUAAUGGUUUUAUCAAAACAAAACAAAAAAAAAAACAAAAAAAAAAAGAAAAGAAAAAACAGUUCCUGCAAAAUUGCAGAUCAACAAAAGCUGGUUUUAUAGAGGAUCAUGAACUAUGCACAAACUGGUUCAAGACUUUUUUCUCAAGUUCAGUAGUGUAUUUAGCUAAACAGACCUUCCUCAGAGUAAGUGCAUCUCAUUGCCAUUACAUGCGUUCUGUAUAUUUGAUGUACACGUCCCUGCGUUAUGUACACCAAAUAUACGUGCGUGCGUGCCCGUGUGCACCCAGACAUACAGCUUCCCAUGCUGCAUUUAGCAUCGAGUUGUAGAAAACUGAUAUUUUUAAAUUGAGGAUGGAAGUAAAGAUUCUCUCUGUUUUUGUUUUUUGUUGGGGUGGGUUUGGUUUUUUUCUUUGGACCUUUUAUUUUGAAUUAAAGAUGUCUGUAACUCUGAGAUUAAAAGACAAGUUUGUGGCUUUUAAUGUUUUUCCUCAUAGAAUGUGAUUGUUGAAGAAAAUGCACCGAAAGUUGCUUUCAAAAGUACAACGCUUUGUUGAAUCUUAAUAAAUUGCAAUUUUUUUUCUUGGC